AUUGAACGCUGGCGGCAGGCUUAACACAUGCAAGUCGAGCGGGGUGAUGGUGCUUGCACUAUCACUUAGCGGCGGACGGGUGAGUAAUGCUUAGGAAUCUGCCUAUUAGUGGGGGACAACAUCUCGAAAGGGAUGCUAAUACCGCAUACGUCCUACGGGAGAAAGCAGGGGAUCACUUGUGACCUUGCGCUAAUAGAUGAGCCUAAGUCGGAUUAGCUAGUUGGUGGGGUAAAGGCCUACCAAGGCGACGAUCUGUAGCGGGUCUGGGAGGAUGAUCCGCCACACUGGGACUGAGACACGGCCCAGAAUCCUACGGGAGGCAGCAGUGGGGAAUAUUGGACAAUGGGGGGAACCCUGAUCCAGCCAUGCCGCGUGUGUGAAGAAGGCCUUAUGGUUGUAAAGCACUUUAAGCGAGGAGGGGGCUCUUUUGGUUAAUACCCAAGAUGAGUGGACGUUACUCGCAGAAUAAGCACCGGCUAACUCUGUGCCAGCAGCCGCCGUAA
rnacentral:rRNA from 1 species